rnacentral:rRNA from 1 species
GACGAACGCUGGCGGCGUGCCUAACACAUGCAAGUCGAGCGAGUGAAUCUCCUUCGGGAGUGAAGCUAGCGGCGGACGGGUGAGUAACACGUGGGCAACCUGCCUCAUAGAGGGGAAUAGCCUUUCGAAAGGAAGAUUAAUACCGCAUAAGAUUGUAGCUUCGCAUGAAGUAGCAAUUAAAGGAGCAAUCCGCGAUGAGAUGGGCCUGCGGCGCAUUAGCUAGUUGGUGAGGUAACGGCUCACCAAGGCGACGAUGCGUAGCCGACCUGAGAGGGUGAUCGGCCACAUUGGGACUGAGACACGGCCCAGACUCCUACGGGAGGCAGCAGUGGGGAAUAUUGCACAAUGGGGGAAACCCUGAUGCAGCAACGCCGCGUGAGUGAUGACGGCCUUCGGGUUGUAAAGCUCUGUCUUCAGGGACGAUAAUGACGGUACCUGAGGAGGAAGCCACGGCUAACUACGUGCCAGCAGCCGCGGUAA